rnacentral:rRNA from 1 species
AUUGAACGCUGGCGGCAUGCCUUACACAUGCAAGUCGAACGGCAGCACGGGAGCAAUCCUGGUGGCGAGUGGCGAACGGGUGAGUAAUGUAUCGGAACGUACCUUUCAGUGGGGGAUAACGUAGCGAAAGUUACGCUAAUACCGCAUAUUCUGUGAGCAGGAAAGCAGGGGAUCGCAAGACCUUGCGCUGAUUGAGCGGCCGAUAUCAGAUUAGCUAGUUGGUGAGGUAAAGGCUCACCAAGGCGGCGGUCUGUAGCGGGUUCUGAGAGGAUGAUCCGCCACACUGGAACUGAGACACGGUCCAGACUCCUACGGGAGGCAGCAGUGGGGAAUUUUGGACAAUGGGCGCAAGCCUGAUCCAGCCAUGCCGCGUGAGUGAAGAAGGCCUCGGUUGUAAG